UAACACAUGCAAGUCGAGCGAAAGGCCACUUCGGUGGUACUCGAGCGGCGAACGGGUGAGUAACACGUGAGCAAUCUGCCCCUGGCUUCGGGAUAGCCACCGGAAACGGUGAUUAAUACCGGAUAUGACAGACCCUCGCAUGGGGGUGUGUGGAAAGUUUUUCGGCCAGGGAUGUGCUCGCGGCCUAUCAGCUUGAUGGUGAGGUAAUGGCUCACCAUGGCUUCGACGGGUAGCCGGCCUGAGAGGGUGACCGGCCACACUGGGACUGAGACACGGCCCAGACUCCUACGGGAGGCAGCAGUGGGGAAUAUUGGACAAUGGGCGGAAGCCUGAUCCAGCAACGCCGCGUGAGGGAUGACGGCCUUCGGGUUGUAAACCUCUUUCAGUACCGACGAAGCGCAAGUGACGGUAGGUACAGAAGAAGCACCGGCCAACUACGUGCCAGCAGCCGCGGUAAUACGUAGGGUGCGAGCGUUGUCCGGAAUUAUUGGGCGUAAAGGGCUCGUAGGCGGUUUGUCGCGUCGGGAGUGAAAACGCCGUGCUUAACACGGCGCUUGCUUCCGAUACGGGCAGACUAGAGGUAUUCAGGGGAGAACGGAAUUCCUGGUGUAGCGGUGAAAUGCGCAGAUAUCAGGAGGAACACCGGUGGCGAAGGC
rnacentral:rRNA from 1 species